rnacentral:rRNA from 1 species
GACAGAGGGUGCAAACGUUGUUCGGAAUUACUGGGCAUAAAGAGCACGUAGGUGGUGCGCUAAGUCACGUGUGAAAUCCCCCGGCUCAACCGGGGAAUGGCGCGUGAUACUGGCGGACUCGAGGCGGGUAGGGGUGAGCGGAACUCCAGGUGGAGCGGUGAAAUGCGUAGAUAUCAGGAGGAACACCAAUGGCGAAGGCAGCUCGCUGGGACGUGACUGACGCUGAGACGCGAAAGCGUGGGGAGCAAACAGG